rnacentral:tRNA from 1 species
GGCCGAAUAGCUCAGCCUGGGAGAGCGCUUCACUGAAGAUGGAGUUCGUCCCCGGUUACAAAGUCCGGGGUUCGGCCA